rnacentral:rRNA from 1 species
UGACCGCUGGCGGCGUGCCUAAUGCAUGCAAGUAGAACGCUGAAGGAAGGAGCUUGCUCUUUCCGGAUGAGUUGCGAACGGGUGAGUAACGCGUAGGUAACCUGCCUGGUAGCGGGGGAUAACUAUUGGAAACGAUAGCUAAUACCGCAUAACAGUAGAUGUUGCAUGAUAUCUACUUAAAAGGUGCAAUUGCACCACUACCAGAUGGACCUGCGUUGUAUUAGCUAGUUGGUGAGGUAACGGCUCACCAAGGCGACGAUACAUAGCCGACCUGAGAGGGGGAUCGGCCACACUGGGACUGAGACACGGCCCAGACUCCUACGGGAGGCAGCAGUAGGGAAUCUUCGGCAAUGGACGGAAGUCUGACCGAGCAACGCCGCGUGAGUGAAGAAGGUUUUCGGAUCGUAAAGCUCUGUUGUAAGAGAAGAACGAGUGUGAGAGUGGAAAGUUCACACUGUGACGGUAUCUUACCAGAAAGGGACGGCUAACUACGUG